AGCAGCCGCGGUAAUUCCAGCUCCAAUAGCGUAUAUUAAAGUUGUUGCAGUUAAAAAGCUCGUAGUUGAAUUUCGGGAUCAGUAGGUUGGUCGUGCCACUGGUAUGUACUGGCCUCACUGAUUCCUCCUUCCUGAUGAACCGUAAUGCCAUUAAUUUGGUGUUGCGGGGAAUCUGGACUGUUACUUUGAAAAAAUUAGAGUGUUUAAAGCAGGCUAACGCUUGAAUACAUUAGCAUGGAAUAAUGGAAUAGGACGUUCGAUCCUAUUUUGUUGGUUUCUAGGAUUGGCGUAAUGAUUAAUAGGGAUAGUUGGGGGCAUUAGUAUUCAAUUGUCAGAGGUGAAAUUCUUGGAUUUAUUGAAGACUAACUACUGCGAAAAGCAUUUGCCAAGGAUGUUUUCAUUAAUCAAGAACGAAAGUUAGGGGGAUCGAAGACGAUCAGAUACCGUCGU
rnacentral:rRNA from 1 species